rnacentral:lncRNA from 1 species
UGGUGAUGGCGAUAGAGGCUCCUAACAUCUUCUGUUUUAUGUUGGCUCCAGAGAAAGCUAAUUCUUUGAAGGUGGCCAUGAAUCCGGCUCCAAUCCUAAGUGAUAGAUUUAAGAGAUAACUGAAUAGAAUAAUUUGCAUUUUGAGUAUCAUCUUUGCUCCUCUGAUGCAACAGAUACUGGACAUGAGUGCUCUUAUUCUGUAUUGAAAUUCAUUUCUGCUCUCAUCUGGAAAAAAAAUCCCUUCAAAUACUAAAUGCAUAUGUAGGUUAGGGAAUGAAACAAAAGAGGGUUAUAUGAAAGUCUGUCCUAAAGAGUAAUGGCCCCAAAGCAGAUCAUUUCCCAAAACUGUCACUCUAUCUAUGCUUGUAAGGUUGGUAAGAAAAUGGGUCUAUAAUUUUUAUGUUUCUCUUGGAGGUGAAGUAAAUUAACCUGCUACAUUUGUAUCUGUGGAUUCAUUCAGCGAUAACAUACAUUUUUUUAUUCACCUGGUCAUCUGGGCUAUUGGCUUUUUUUCCCAUAAACCUCCCUCCAAAUAAACAUUUACCCCUGCCUGGCUGGUUCAGUUUCUGAAAAAUAUCUGUUUUGAAAAGUUCUCUUCUCUACCUAUCAGAAAUCAGUACUCCAUUUUAUAUUAUUUCUAUUCUUUAGUUUAAGGCAAUCUCUUCUCUAUGCUUGUGACUUAGAUGCUUUCAUAACUGCCCCCCCCCCCACCCUUGCCACCGAGGAGUGAAGUGGGGAGUAGGGGGUAUUUGAAAGGUAGAAAAAUGUUUCUAAGCAAGAAAGGAAAGUUUGCAAGCAGUUACAAAGGCCAUAAUUUAGGACCAAGAAGUAAACUUUGUACUUGCUGUCAUUCUAGAUAGUUCCCCAUGGGCCUCGUAUCCCUCAUUGCUCCUUCCCACCUGUAUCCCUGGUGGGAGAUUCUGGUGCCUAAGCAUUUAGUUCAGAGCCCUUUUUGCCGAGACCUAAACCCACAUUGCCUCCUAACAUGUCCCGCAUUGUGGUGCCACAUGACCCACCUGGCCACACACCCCCAACUCUUUUGGACUGUCUACAUGAGUCCUAUUUCCAGAAAGGGAGUUCAAAGCUGUGACAAAGCAUCUUUUCUAUUUAAUCUUACUCUGAAAACAACCCUAAAGAGUUUACUGUAGGCCAGGAGGCUACUUUCCCAAUGUUCUGUUGUAUGUGUUUUUCCUGUCCCUCCCUUGCUUCCAUUUUGCUGCCAACAAAGAGAGGUGUGACCUACUCAAACCAAGGACAUUGGCUUUGCGUCAAUGUUUUCUCCUAUGUCCAAGGACUGGAGGGUGGGGGCAAAGGGGCAUAGUUGCUCAGCCCAAGACUAUAUUAAUGAGGCACCCCAAGGCUUAUCUGGGGCUAUAGAAGGGGGCGGGUAAUUUAGAUGACACAUUUGGGGAAUUCUCUGGAGCACUUUCCCAAAUGCAGGGCAUUUUACAGGUAGGGGUGCCUCUUGGUGGACCCCUCUCCAUCUGAACAUUCUUGGGAAAUACAGAAAAUCAUUCAUCUAGUGAACUAGGUCUUGUCCUCAAAAUUCUGCUUUCACCUCUGAGCUUACCUCUUCUGGGUGCCUCCCCAAUCCUCCAAGGUCAUAGUGAGAGGAACAGUGAAGAUUCACCCAUUUUCUUUUCUCCUGGGACCUCAAACGAGGCUCUACAUAUUCCACUGAAAUCGCUAAUUUAUUUUUAAAGGGCCAAUCCUUUGAGGGUAGGAACCCAUAUCUUCUCUGACUUUGCCACUGUCCCAGGGGUAGACGGAUCAUGCCGGUGAAGGAGAGGAGUGAGACUCAUGGUCACCCAGGCCACUGAGUACUCUGCCAGGCGGCAGAAUCCCUUGUCUCACUUUCUCUUUAAACUAGAUAGUCUCAAUAAAUUGAUUACAGCCAGCACGAGAACCUUUCUCUGUCUUGAAAAUUCCUACAAGGCCUUUCUAACAGGUUCUUUGAACUCUUCUCUGACUUGUUUUCCUAAGCUCUGGGCUCCCUAGGCUGAGGUAAGUACUCCCACCUCUGUGUUCCCAUGGUGAUGGUCCUUUGAACAAGUGACACUAUUUGAAAAUCGCUUUUCCGUGAGCCCUCCCUGAGCUCCUUGUAUCGAGCUCAGACGCCCACAGAAUGCUUUUCCAAGAUUUAUCUGGCCGGAUCAAUGCCCGGAGGCCAGUGUUGGAAAGCUGCUUUUGAUGCCGAGGCCACGCAGUGGUGACCUGAGGACGCGUGGCUGCGCUCGGACCACCACCACGCGAUGCCCUGAUGGCGGACGAGCCAGGUCAGCCUCUCCCUUCACUUCCCCUCGCUAUGUUACCUGCGUUUUCUAGAGGGUUCUUCCCUUCCGCGCAUCAUCUUCCCUUCCUUUUUAUGAGCUCUCAGGGUCUCUCCAUUCAUUCUCUUCUUUGAGUUGCCACGUCCCUAACACUCCCCCCAGUCCUUAAGUCAUCCCUCGGUUCCUUUCCCACUUUUUUUCUUCCCCACGCCCCCUGGAUCUUUGGUUCCCAGCACUGAUCCCUCUUAGCUAGUGAUUUUACUUCGUGUCUCCGCUCCCUUGCCAACCCUAACCUCAUCGCUCUCCAUUUCUAGGAUUUUCCCUCUUUGCCUCACGGCUUCCAAGGUCAAGGCAAUACCUGAACAGCCACUUCGCUGCAAGAGCAAGACUGCACCGCUUGCUUCCAGCGGCGGGGGGCAGGGGCAUCUUGCAAAGAUCAAAAAAUCUGCAGCGCCUCCUGUAGGAGCAGCUGCCGGCGUCAGCCCUGAACCCCGGGCCGGUGAAGAGCAGAGGCGGGAGAAGGCAAUAAGAGAAAUUCUUCCAAAGAGUCUCUUCAAUCAAUGGGAAUAAUUUUAGUCCAUCGUGCUUAUAAACUGGUUUGCAGGAUAUUUUCCCAAAGAACAAUAGAGAAAAUGAAAUGAACCAUUCAGAACUGUGUCCUGAAGUUUACCAAGAUUUUAGGGCUGGACUGUUUUCAACAGCCAAGACAUGGAAACAACCUAAAUGUCCAUCGACAGAGGAGUGGAUCAAGAAGGUGUGGUAUAUAUACACAAUGGAAUAUUACUCAGCCAUUAAAAGAAACGAAAUACCAGCAUUCUUAGCAACAUGGAUGGACCUAGAAAUUAUCAUGCUAAGUAAGGUCAGCCAUACAAUGAGACACUAACAUCAAAUGCUUUCACUGACAUGUGGAAUCUGAAAAAAGGACAGACGGAACUUCUUUGCAGAACAGAUGCUAACUCACAGAUUUUGAAAACCUAAUGGUCUCCAGAGGAGACAGUUUGGGGGAUGGAGGGAUGUGCUUGGGUUGUGGGAUAGAAAUCCUGUGAAAUUGGAUUGUGAUGAUCAUUAUACAACUACAGAUGUGAUAAAUUCAUUGAGUAAUAAAAACAAACAAAAC